rnacentral:misc_RNA from 1 species
UACGAGUGCCCCAAGCGUUAUCCGGAAUCAUUGGGCGUAAAGGGUGUGUAGGUGGUUCGAUUAGUCUCUUGUUAAAUUUCCCGGCUUAACCGGGAACUUGCGGGGGAAACGGUCGAGCUAGAGGAUGCGAGGGGUGAAUGGAACUCAUGGAGUAGGGGUGAAAUCCGUUGAUAUCAUGGGGAACACCAAAAGCGAAGGCAAUUCACUGGCGCAUUCCUGACACUGAGACACGAAAGCGUGGGUAGCGAACGGG